CGCGUAUACAAUCUACCUUUUACAGGGGGAUAGCCUUUAGAAAUGAAGAUUAAUACCCCAUAGUAUCUAAUAACUGCAUGGUUUUUAGAUUAAAGUUUCGAUGGUAAAAGAUGAGUAUGCGUCCUAUUAGCUAGUUGGUAUGGUAACGGCAUACCAAGGCAACGAUAGGUAGGGGCCCUGAGAGGGGGAUCCCCCACACUGGUACUGAGACACGGACCAGACUCCUACGGGAGGCAGCAGUGAGGAAUAUUGGACAAUGGAGGCAACUCUGAUCCAGCCAUGCCGCGUGCAGGAAGACUG
rnacentral:rRNA from 1 species